rnacentral:tRNA from 1 species
GCGGUCAUCGUCUAGUUUGGUUAGGACACUGGCCUUCCAAGCCCGUAACCCGGGUUCAAAUCCCGGUGACCGCACCA